CGACCGGCGCACGGGUGCGUAACGCGUAUGCAACCUACCUUUUACAGAGGGAUAGCCCAGAGAAAUUUGGAUUAAUACCUCAUAGUAUUAUAGAAUGGCAUCAUUUUAUAAUUAAACAUUUAUGGGUAAAAGAUGGCUAUGCGUUCUAUUAGCUAGAUGGUAAGGUAACGGCUUACCAUGGCAACGAUAGAUAGGGGUCCUGAGAGGGAGAUCCCCCACACUGGUACUGAGACAGGGACCAGACUCC
rnacentral:rRNA from 1 species